AGAUGUCCUAAAAUGCACAGUUUUGGAGAAAAGCAUCACCCACACUAUUGAAUGAAUAAGCAACAAAAUUUCGCUAAGGCAUGCACAAAACUCCAUGACAAGCUGCUUGAGUAUUGAGCUCAGGAGCAUUCUAAGCAAAAGAUAUGUAGAACAACAUAUUUUUGCUAAGGCAUGUAACUUUGCCCAACUAAGCUGAGACAAGUUAAGAGAACAGCUAUACUGACGCUAUAAACAUGCAAUCAUUCGCUUAGGCAUGAUACGAUUUGGUCUCCGAAAUGCUAGACCACCGAGCUCAGAGUUAUCAAAGAAUCAAGCAAAGCAAAUAGUAGAUAUUCGCUAAGGCAUUGGCAAGCUAUCCUAGCACCGAGCUCAUAGGUCCUAAAGCAUUCGAACAUACAAAUGCAAGAACAAGCUAAGGCAAGAGCGAAGGUAAGAAACGAGCUGUAGAAAGAAAAAUAACAUUUCGUAGACAAAUAUUUAUAAACUUGGUAUUCAAAGAUUGCCCAAAACAAAAGUAUUUAUGAAGCUUUCAAACGUCUUCAAGGACCAUCCCCUUUUAAGGAAGUAAAACAUGUUGCACUUUGGGGGAAUGUCCUGAUCUCCACCUCUCCAAUUCCCUCUUCACCUUCUCUAGCCCUUAGCUCAUUGCCCUUGUCUGCAAUAUCCACCUCGGCUAGGCCUUCAUUUCCCUCUUCUGUUAGCUGGUUCAUAUACUAUUCUUCCUUAAAGCCCGACAAAAUGAGGGGCGAGUAACCUUUAGGAAGGUGCAGGAGCUCUGGCUCAAGUGCUGCUACAAUCCAACCUGGGUGCUCUGCAGGAGUACCGAGAUCCUUCAGACAGGCAAGCCAACCUUCUUGGAAAAUGUUGGGACGAAGCUUGGCCACCUGUCUUUCAUAAAAGUCACUAGCCCGGCUAUAGCCAUGGUUGAAUACUCACUCGUACACUGGGCCAGUAGCCACCUUAUAGAGCUCGGCCAGAUCAUGCAAAGCCUUGUGAAGUUUUUCUUGGGCGACAUCAGCCUCAAGCUUGGACUUAGCAACUGCAUCCUCAACGGCGAGCUUCUCCCUAGCCUCCUUUAGAUCAGACUCGUGUUGGCCUUCUUGGCUUUGGAGGAGUAUUUCUUCAUUCUCUCCGAGUUAGCCAUGGCUCUAUGGAGGCUCUGCAAAAGAAAUUGUCAAAACCAAAAAAUGAUUUAAGUGUUCAAAGGCCUAGAAAGCAUUAUGACCGAGCUAAAGUUUUUACCUGGACAUGCUGCAUGACCAUUAAGUUGCCGAACUCUGUCGCACCUUCGGUAGCAAGGUCCACCACAUCUUGUGGAAGCAUGAUGACCUGCUCUAAGGCCAGGCAUGUGCUGUGAUCUUUCGACGUAUAAACUGUAGUAACCAGCCUCCCGAGCUCAGCAACAUAAAUUUUGGGUUCCAGAGCUCGGGAAUUCCGACGGGAGUUAGGGUGCCAGCCAAGCUUCCCGUUCCCCCUCACUUUCUCCUUCUGGAAAGACCCUCCGUGGGUUACUUCCCCUUUCGUUUUCAAAGGAGUGGAGAGGAUGGUAAGCUCAGUUGAUCCUCAGUGGGAUCGGGAAGAGCUACUGGCUGAGGAUCUUGGACUACAGGAGGAUCUGCUAGUUUGUAUUUCUUCUGGAUGAAGGUCUUAGGCUUCAGCAUCAUGGAAACCUUUUCCGAGCUGGUAUCAGCACCACCACCUUCAAUAAAAGAGUGAUCAACUUCCUCCCUAACCACAUGCAAAACAAGGGGAAAACUGAGGUCAUCCGCAACUUUUGAAUCCAAGAUGACCACUUGUACGGGAGCAAUUGCAGCUGGAGCGGGGCAACUACAAUGACAAGAGCUAGAUUUUUGCCUUGGUUUACCUCUUCUCCAUCUUCAACUUCUUCAUUCAUUCUCCGUCUUCAACUUCUUCAUUGCUCGACAAGCCAAACGAACUGGAAGCACUAGAGGUACUAGGGUGGAAGCUCGGUCGGCUAAGUCAAGAGCUCGAGCAAGCGCAACAUUCUGGUUGAGCUCUUCACUUAGUUCCUCUGAGCUGGUUCUCUGACGUCGACGAGAAACUUGCUUCCGGAUGCGCAAAGAAGGAAGCCUGACUUGUCCGAGCUGUUCAGCCCGGUGUGGGAUGAUUUGAUGGUAGAUCGGCUUGUACCGAAGAAGAGUCUUCACAUCCCGGGGUCUACCGUAGUUGUUGAUUUUUGAAUCGCCUCGGUGUACUGCUCAAACCUUUUCGGGAACAAGUCGUUGAAUCUCAAAAUGUGUCAACCGAGGUGGAAUGGUUAGAUAAGCAACGUAACAAAUUUAUACAAGUGCGAUAAAUACAACCGAGAGAUACGAAAACUGACUUACUAUCAAGGAGGCUUCCAUUAUGCAUAGGGAAAGAAUAAAUUCCAUCAUCCCUAGCUCGGAAUUCCGAGGAUCUAGAGACCUAGAAUAAACCAUUGAGAUACACGUCUUUGUCGGGGAUCUUGGUCACAGCCUUGUAUGAGGUUGCUGGGGUUCCGAAGUCGAAGAUAAUGAUUGCCGGUGUAAAGGUUGGUACGGGGCUCCCUCCUUGGGCGGACCACGUUGUACACGUGUAGCAAAUCAGAGGCGCUAAACGGGAGAUUUUCCCUCCACAUCAACGUAUCAACUACAAGCACGGUCCUAACGAAAUUGAUAGAAACCUACAUGAAGGUCAGUCGGCAUUGAGCCAUAACCUCCUUCAGCAGCGAACUGAUCGGGAAAUAGAGACCUACCUGAUGGAUCAACCAAAUCUAAAUUGGAAUGCGGUCCUAAGCCCGUCUACUACGUUGGCAUCUUCAUUUUGUCUUGGUUUCUCUAUCUUUAUGUUGUCUGGAAUGUCAUUGGCAUCUAUAAACCGAUCCAGUUGUAUACUAGGAGUUGAGCUUGGUUCAAUUCCAUGUUCUAAAAGAAGCAAAACAGUGAUAACGAGCUCAAACCUAGACAAUUCCAACAGACAUUUGGGCGUAGAGUUAGCCGAACUCCCUGCAAACUCAGAGCUCUCCUCCAAGAGGAGUAACACUUGGGCACAUAGUUAGCCAAGCUUUAACAACUCUGUCCUAGAGGUACAUCCACAUUUCAUUAAGGGACAAUUCUCAAUCCUCCUGUCUCGAACCUGUCUCAGUAGUAGAAGGGCUUGAGGGGGCAAAACCCUAACUUUAGAAGAUGGAUUUUUGAAGGUAGAUUUUAACAAGUCAUUAGAAACUACAGGGGGAGUUCAGACCCAUUCUAUUAGGGGAAAUGGGUCAAAAGCAACCAGAGUCUCAAAAACUAGAAGGCUACACACCCAUCAAUAGUGGAUGGGCGAUCAUAGACACCAACAGGCAGACAGCAUGCGCAAAAACAAAAUCGUAGGAAAGACAAAAAAUACUCCAAAUCCCACAGUAUUAAGAGUACAGAUGCAUCAAGCGCACAUAUAUACCAGGAGAAUUCCUAAAACAUUUCAUAAAAAAACUUCUAGAAAUGAUUAGAAGAUGUUCAUAAAGCAAGGACCGAGUCGCAGGAAGUAGGGGACUAGUCGUUGGCAAUAGGAACAACAUUGAAAACGAUGGUCGGACGGCAACAGCUUGUUGGGACGCACUUUCUCUCUCUUAACCUCUUAGAACUCUUGGAUGAAUAGCACCAAGGAAGAUGAAGGGUCAUUUAUAAGAAGCCCAAAAAGGUAGGAAAAAAUCACCACACGCCCUAAAGGCAUGUCAUUUGGCAAGCCAAAAUUUCAUUACGAACCAACAAAAAAUGAACACGUGGCAGCUCGCUCACUAUGCAUCUAAGCCAAACAAGCGUUAAGGUAGGUGGGUACUCUGGAAUCCAUGCCCAGAUCAAACAUCGGGCGAAUCUGACCUUGAUGCGUGGCACAACAAAGUGACAGAUCCGUCCAGGGAAGGGACAACUUGCAGGUGCUACCACACCUACCCUACCGAGCUUCAAUUUUAAAGACAUCUAGGUUAUAUGACCUCAAUUUGCAUUGAUCCAGCUCAUACGAACUGAGGGGCAAUUAUAAGGGAAUAAAAUAACAAAUACCAUCUAUGCGUCAGAGCUCGGUUGAGAUGCAGCACGAGCUCUAGCCGAGCUAGCUCGGCAUCGUUGUCGGGUUGUAGCUCUAUAGCAAGCUCGACAGAAUCACUGUGUAGAAGUUUAAUUGAGACACAACGGUCGACGGCGAUCUCGAGGCACAUCAGGGAACAUAAAGUGACUUGUAUGACAAAUUUUCUUUGACAGCCCCCACGUCUGGAUCAAGACGUCGAUGACAUGAUGGCUAGCUACCAACCAAGCCAUAGGGGCAUGGCUGGGUCAGCUGCCUACUCACUGAUACAAUAGUCAGCAUGUCUCAAUACGCGCUGAGCUGCAAUAUGUCCAGUGACAUUGCAGUUGGCACAUCUCAGUACGCGCCGAACUACUAUAUAAGGCUAGACCUUAUUCUUUCAAAGGUAUGCAAUUUCAGCUACUCGAAGUUUACAUACUCUUUAUCUCUCUACAUAUUCUUUGUAUCCACCGGUGAUCUAACUUGACCAUUGAAGAACCGUUUCUCGGAAACAGCUCCGGCGGCUAAACUUACUAUUUCUGUAUUACAAUUUGGAUGUUGCAGUCAACAGUCUCUAACCAUUACUUUGCCACUGCAGGUGUCUAUCUUCGAUUUCCUCUCUUCCAUUGCUCAAAUACUCACACCUCACAGUAUGUUAUAAUAUAUGUAUUAUACAGUUCAUAUGGUAGAUUUUUUUUUAGUUAUGUGGAGGGGUAUAGUCUAGUGAGGGAGUGGAAUCAAAGUUGAGUGGGAGAGGAGUUAGGAAUAUUUAAGCAGGUUUUAGAUGAUGGAUGGACUAAAUAUUUUCUUAUGUGAACCGCGUGGAGCUAGACGAAACAUCGAAAACUAGGUUUAAGCCUCUUUUCCUUUGGUGAAAAUUAUGUUAAAUUAUUCCAGAAAACAAAAAUUGUCUGAUUUUUUUUUUGGUUUCAGUAGGUUCAACUGACACCAAUAAUUGUAGAACGAUGUCUUGUUUA
rnacentral:lncRNA from 1 species